AUAAGUCACAGGUAGUUUCCAGAGGCAGCACAGCAGUUAGUUUCAGUUCUGAACCCGCUGAGGAGCACACAGUUGCUCUCAAAGCUGGGUCUGCGCCUCGUGGUUGCAGCAUCUCUGGUUGUGCGUAGGCAAGCUAAUGUGGACCUUCAAGAGCUUCAAGAUGUCCUUCAGCCAGGCUUUCAACUUAUCCAGAUGCCAACAUCUCUGAGUGUGUCCGCAUGAAAGAGAGUUCACACACAGGACACAGGAAUUGAGAAAUGAAUUCUACCAUUUUUUCUCUGGAACAUUUACAAAUUAAUUACAGAAAUACAAAAACUCUGUCCUUAAUUUGU